rnacentral:rRNA from 1 species
GACGAACGCUGACGGCGUGCUUAACACAUGCAAGUCGAAGGGCGUGGCGAACGGGUGAGUAACACGUGAGUAACCUGCCCUUUUCUUUGGGAUAAGCCUGGGAAACUGGGUCUAAUACUGGAUGGAUUGGGAUGGGCUCGCGGCUUAUAAGCUUGUUGGUGGGGUGCAUGCGUCCCAAGGCGGUGACGGGUAGCCGGGCUGAGAGGGUGACCGGCAACGUUGGGACUGCCAUACGGCCCAGAGGACGACGGGAGGCAGCAGUGGGGGGUAUUGCAGAAGGGGCGAAGGGCUGAUGCAGCGUCGCUGCGUGGGGGAUGAAGGCUUUCGGGUUGUAAACCUCUUGCGCUAUCGAACGGGUAGGUGGAGAAGAAGCGCCGGCUAACUACGUGCCAGCAGCCGCGGUAAUUC